rnacentral:rRNA from 1 species
GUUAGUCGGGUCCUAAGCUGAGGCCGACAGGCGUAGGCGAUGGAUAACAGGUUGAUAUUCCUGUACCACCUAUAAUCGUUUUAAUCGAUGGGGGGGACGCAGUAGGAUAGGCGAAGCGUGCGAUUGGAUUGCACGUCUAAGCAGUAAGGCUGAGUAUUAGGCAAAUCCGGUACUCGUUAAGGCUGAGCUGUGAUGGGGAGAAGACAUUGUGUCUUCGAGUCGUUGAUUUCACACUGCCGAGAAAAGCCUCUAGAUAGAAAAUAGGUGCCCGUACCGCAAACCGACACAGGUAGUCAAGAUGAGAAUUCUAAGGUGAGCGAGCGAACUCUCGUUAAGGAACUCGGCAAAAUGACCCCGUAACUUCGGGAGAAGGGGUGCUCUUUAGGGUUAACGCCCAGAAGUGCCGCAGUGAAUAGGCCCAAGCGACUGUUUAUCAAAAACACAGGUCUCUGCUAAACCGUAAGGUGAUGUAUAGGGGCUGACGCCUGCCCGGUGCUGGAAGGUUAAGAGGAGUGGUUAGCUUCUGCGAAGCUACGAAUCGAAGCCCCAGUAAACGGCGGCCGUAACUAUAACGGUCCUAAGGUAGCGAAAUUCCUUGUCGGGUAAGUUCCGACCCGCACGAAAGGCGUAACGAUUUGGGCACUGUCUCAACGAGAGACUCGGUGAAAUCAUAGUACCUGUGAAGAUGCAGGUUACCCGCGACAGGACGGAAAGACCCCGUGGAGCUUUACUGUAGCCUGAUAUUGAAAUUCGGCACAGCUUGUACAGGAUAGGUAGGAGCCUUUGAAACGUGAGCGCUAGCUUACGUGGAGGCGCUGGUGGGAUACUACCCUAGCUGUGUUGGCUUUCUAACCCGCACCACUUAUCGUGGUGGGAGACAGUGUCAGGCGGGCAGUUUGACUGGGGCGGUCGCCUCCUAAAAGGUAACGGAGGCGCUCAAAGGUUCCCUCAGAAUGGUUGGAAAUCAUUCAUAGAGUGUAAAGGCAUAAGGGAGCUUGACUGCGAGACCUACAAGUCGAGCAGGGUCGAAAGACGGACUUAGUGAUCCGGUGGUUCCGCAUGGAAGGGCCAUCGCUCAACGGAUAAAAGCUACCCCGGGGAUAACAGGCUUAUCUCCCCCAAGAGUUCACAUCGACGGGGAGGUUUGGCACCUCGAUGUCGGCUCAUCGCAUCCUGGGGCUGUAGUCGGUCCCAAGGGUUGGGCUGUUCGCCCAUUAAAGCGGUACGCGAGCUGGGUUCAGAACGUCGUGAGACAGUUCGGUCCCUAUCCGUCGUGGGCGUAGGAAAUUUGAGAGGAGCUGUCCUUAGUACGAGAGGACCGGGAUGGACAUACCUCUGGUGUACCAGUUGUCGUGCCAACGGCAUAGCUGGGUAGCUAUGUGUGGACGGGAUAAGUGCUGAAAGCAUCUAAGCAUGAAGCCCCCCUCAAGAUGAGAUUUCCCAACUUCGGUUAUAAGAUCCCUCAAAGAUGAUGAGGUUAAUAGGUUCGAGGUGGAAGCAUGGUGACAUGUGGAGCUGACGAAUACUAAUCGAUCGAAGACUUAAUCAA